UGUACAUGAUGAAUGCAUUUUUGGUCCGUGUUGAUGAGAUCAUGUGAUUAUACUGUGCAAGUCUGAUUAC